rnacentral:rRNA from 1 species
UGGGUGACUUGCCCCGAAGAUGGGGAUAACCUCUGGAAACGGGGGCUAAUACCCAAUGUGCUCGGUGAUUCGGUUCAUCGAGUAAAGCUCCGGCGCUUCGGGAGAGGCCUGCGGCCCAUCAGCUAGUUGGUAGGGUAACGGCCUACCAAGGCAGAGACGGGUAGGGGGCGUGAGAGCGCGGACCCCCACACUGGUACUGAGAUACGGGCCAGACUCCUACGGGAGGCAGCAGUAAGGGAUAUUGCGCAAUGGACGAAAGUCAGACGCAGCGACGCCGCGUGGGCGAUGAAGGCCUUCGGGUUGUAAAGCCCUUUUAUGGGGGAAGAGAAAAAGGACGGUACCCCAGGAAUAAGUCCCGGCUAACUACGUGCCAGCAGCCGCGGUAAAACGUAGGGGACAAGCGUUAUCCGGAUUCACUGGGCGUAAAGAGCGUUGAGGCGGUUCCGUAAGUUGGGCGUGAAAGCUCCGGGCUUAACUCGGAGAUGUCGUUCAAUACUGCGGGGCUUGAGGACAGCAGAGGAAGGUGGAAUUCCCGGUGUAGUGGUGAAAUGCGUAGAUAUCGGGAGGAACACCCGUGGCGAAGGCGGCCUUCUGGGCUGUUCCUGACGCUGAAGGCGAAAGCUAGGGGAGCGAACGGGAUUAGAUACCCCGGUAGUCCUAGCUGUAAACGAUGGAUGCUGGGUGUGGGGGGUGUAAAUUCCCUCUGUGCAGAAGCAAACGCGUUAAGCAUCCCGCCUGGGGACUACGGCCGCAAGGCUAAAACUCAAACGAAUUGACGGGGGCCCGCACAAGCAGCGGAGCGUGUGGUUUAAUUCGAUGUUACACGAAGAACCUUACCUGGGUUUGACAUGCACGUGGUAGGGAACCGAAAGGGGACCGACCUUCGGGAGCGUGCACAGGUGCUGCAUGGCUGUCGUCAGCUCGUGCCGUGAGGUGUCGGGUUAAGUCCCGUAACGAGCGCAACCCUUGCCCUUAGUUACAAGUGUCUAAGGGGACUGCCCGGGACAACUGGGAGGAAGGUGGGGAUGACGUCAAGUCAGCAUGGCCUUUAUAUCCAGGGCUACACACACGCUACAAUGGCCGGUACAAUAGGUUGCGAAGUCGUGAGGCGGAGCCAAUCCUCAAAGCCGGUCU